GUGCCAGCAGCCGCGGUAAAACGUAGGACGCAAGCGUUAUCCGGAGUUACUGGGCGUAAAGCGCGGGCAGGCGGUCAACCAAGUCUGAUGUGAAAUCUCUUCGCUCAACGGAGAGAGGCCAUUGGAAACUGGUCGACUGGAGGGCAGUAGAGGUAGGCGGAAUUCCGGGUGGAGUGGUGAAAUGCGUAGAGAUCCGGAGGAACACCAGAGGCGAAGGCGGCCUACUGGGCUGCACCUGACGCUGAGCCGCGAAAGCCAGGGGAGCGAACGGGAUUAGAAACCCCGGUAGUCC
rnacentral:rRNA from 1 species